UACGGGACUCUUUGGACACUGGUGAACAGGUGGUGCAUGGUUGUCGUCAGCUCGUGUCGUGAGAUGUUGGGUUAAGUCCCGCAACGAGCGCAACCCUCGUUCUAUGUUGCCAGCACGUAAUGGUGGGAACUCAUGGGAUACUGCCGGGGUCAACUCGGAGGAAGGUGGGGAUGACGUCAAAUCAUCAUGCCCCUUAUGUCUUGGGCUUCACGCAUGCUACAAUGGCCGGUACAAAGGGCUGCAAUACCGUGAGGUGGAGCGAAUCCCAAAAAGCCGGUCCCAGUUCGGAUUGAGGUCUGCAACUCGACCUCAUGAAGUCGGAGUCGCUAGUAAUCGCAAAUCAGCAACGCUGCGGUGAAUACGUUCCCGGGUCUUG
rnacentral:rRNA from 1 species